GCGGGGGUACCCGAGACUGGCCAAAGGGGCGGGACUUAAGAUCAGGCAGUCUCUGGUGAGAGAUCCCGUAGCUCAGGCUUUCGUGGGUUCAAGUCCCACCCCCCGCA
rnacentral:tRNA from 1 species